AUUGAACGCUGGCGGCUUGCCUUACACAUGCAAGUCGAACGGCAGCACAGGAGAGCUUGCUCUCUGGGUGGCGAGUGGCGGACGGGUGAGGAAUACAUCGGAAUCUACUCUGUCGUGGGGGAUAACGUAGGGAAACUUACGCUAAUACCGCAUACGACCUACGGGUGAAAGCAGGGGACCUUCGGGCCUUGCGCGAUUGAAUGAGCCGAUGUCGGAUUAGCUAGUUGGCGGGGUAAAGGCCCACCAAGGCGACGAUCCGUAGCUGGUCUGAGAGGAUGAUCAGCCACACUGGAACUGAGACACGGUCCAGACUCCUACGGGAGGCAGCAGUGGGGAAUAUUGGACAAUGGGCGCAAGCCUGAUCCAGCCAUACCGCGUGGGUGAAGAAGGCCUUCGGGUUGUAAAGCCCUUUUGUUGGGAAAGAAAUCCAGCUGGCUAAUACCCGGUUGGGAUGACGGUACCCAAAGAAUAAGCACCGGCUAACUUCGUGCCAGCCGCCGCAGUAA
rnacentral:rRNA from 1 species